CACAGCCUGGACCGAAUAGACCAGCCACCACCGCUCACUCCCCACUCUCUCCUCCUACUCGUCGGCGGCAAUGGCCAAGGGCGGCGGUUGCCUUUCCAAGAGCCAGCGCCUCUCACCCCCGCUGGGCCCGCACCGACGCGAAUUUCAUCCCUGCCCCCGCCGCACCGGCGCCGCGCCCGGUCCGCAUCUACGUCGUCUUCUACACCAUGUAGGGCCACGUCGGCGCCUCGCGCGCCGUGCAGUCCGGGAUGGGCUCCAUCCCCGAUGCCCCCAGGAUCGCGUUCCGCGCCGCGGAGACCCGGCCCACCCCGUGCUCGCCCGGAUGGCGCUGACGGACGCCGGUGAGAUGAAUAUGGGGGAACCCCCGCGGUGGACCACGACGGCUUCUUCUUCGCCACCGAGCUCCAGGCCAUCUUCCGCUGCGCCGCUGCCACCCUCGCUGCCGCGGGCCUCGAUACAGGUUCCCUCCCUCCGCGCCCCCAGCCCCUGAUCUCCCCUGAGGGAUUCUGCCGAAUUAUUUCAGCUCAGAGUGGUCAUUUGCUUAGAUUGAUUUACCAGAAGUCUUACAUCUUAACUUUUGGUGCUCAGAACAUUGUACUGAUCCUUGAUGGCAGGUACUCAGCAGUUACCUUUAA